UUUUCCUUCCAAUUUUUUAUAUGGUUAUCUUCAGCGGGUAUUCCUGCCGGAUCCCGA
rnacentral:rRNA from 1 species